UGUGAUUAUAUCUCUCAACAAAGGCUGUGUUUGGUAACCAUGAAAACAUUUUCCAGAAAAUGUUUUCCUAAUUUUACGCUGUUUGGUUACAUGAAAAUAUUUUACAUAAGUAAAACGUUUUCAGAAACACGGUAAAAUGGGAUGCUUUUUAUGUAAAAUGUCUUAAGGAUUUUUUUUCCGUAAGACAUUUUCCAAACUCUCACUUUCCCUUGCGCCGUUCAUCUUCCUUCUUCUUCAUCCAUCCAGGUGCUUUCUCUUUCGCAUACAACCGGUAUCAUCCUUGCGUCGUUCUUCAUCUUCUCAUCCAGAAUGGGUAAGGGCAACCAAGAAGGAACCUCCAAGCAAUUCAGGUGGACAAAACCGAUGGAACAUCUUAUUCUUGAAAUUUUAGCUGAGGAGGCCCAGAAAGGAAAUAAGCCUUCUAAUACUUUCAAAGCAGCUUCUAUUAAUCGAGUUGUCGAAGCUAUUUCUGAAAAAUUUCAAGUCCAAUGCGAUGCAAAACAUGUGGAAAAUCAUUUGAGGACUGUAAAGAAACAGUGGCAGAUUAUAUGCACAAUUCAGGGUGAAAGUGGUUUUGGAUGGGAUGAUAACAUGAAAAUGAUCACAUGUGAUAGAGCGACA